rnacentral:tRNA from 1 species
GUUUUAUCGGAAUAACUCAGUUGAUUAGAGUAACUACCACCAAAAUGCAGGUUCGAAUCCUGCUUCCAAAUACCA